rnacentral:piRNA from 1 species
UGUUGUCGGUGCUAAUUCCUUUGUAAU